GUUUGCAGUGUAAGUCAAUCAGCAGAUGAUGCUUCUACUGUAAAAUUGAUGGCGCCUGUCAUUUGAGACUUGAGAUGUGGAGAGUUUUUGCCACAAGAUGCAGACAUGAUUCCUAUUCUUACAGAUAAACCUCGGUGUAAUAUAUUGCCCUUGUCAUGAUCCGAGUCUUCGAUGAUAGCUUUUUUUGGCCGGAAGGGAUAUGCUCUUUGCUUAGCGCAGAGGUUCGGUUACGCACUCUAAUCUUUGGGUGGAGUCGGACGCGAUUAAUGUGAUUAAUGCAAUAUCUUCUCAUGACGAUGGUCUUUCUCCCAUACAUGUGGUCUAUUAGAUAUUGUUUUAGAUAGAGAGAGUUUUAAUGUCAGUUUAUUUUCACAUGCUAACAGGAAUUGUAACACCGUAACUCACCUCAUUGCUAGGGGUAACACAAGUGGAAAU